GAGUAGGGAGCCUGAUAACCGUUACCACAUCUACGGAUUGUACCUCGGACGUAUAUUACCCAAUCCUGACUCCUGUACGUAUUGACMAUAAAUAACGGACCGAAACAUCUUGUUUCGRGAUUGCAAUGGGUAUAUUUAAACCCCUUAUGUAGGAUCAGUUGGAGGGCAAGUCUGGUGCCAGCUUUUCKSAUAAUUCCAKCUCCGAACCGUAUAUUAAAGUUGUUGCACUUAAAAACCUCGUARUUGGACUUCAGGGAGGGCGCCGMUGUCCGCUGUUGCGAGUKSAGCGCCSYCCUUCCAUCCUUCUGUUAACGUUUCUUGGKAUUCAACUACUGGAUUCGGGCUCGGAUAUUUUACCUUGACAAAAGCUGAGUGCUUMCUGGCCGCUUGCUUSAGACUACAUUAGGGGGUAAWAUURUAAUARGACUUUWSUCUCUCUUGUUGGUUUAGGGACUGAUUUCUGGUUAAUACCUCAUAGUUGGGGGCUUGAGUAUUUWAUUGGCCUACGKMMWAUUCUCGGAKUGGUAACCGACUUCUCUUAUGCCCUCUCAUUUGCCAAGGAUGUUUCCUCNUWAUUACCCAACGAAAGUUAUGGGGAUCCAAUACA
rnacentral:rRNA from 1 species